rnacentral:rRNA from 1 species
AACGAACGCUGGCGGUAUGCCUAACACAUGCAAGUCGAACGAGACCUUCGGGUCUAGUGGCGCACGGGUGCGUAACGCGUGGGAACCUGCCCUUAGGUUCGGAAUAACUCCCCGAAAGGGGUGCUAAUACCGGAUAAUGUCUUCGGACCAAAGAUUUAUCGCCUUUGGAUGGGCCCGCGUUGGAUUAGCUAGUUGGUAGGGUAAAAGCCUACCAAGGCGACGAUCCAUAGCUGGUCUGAGAGGAUGAUCAGCCACACUGGGACUGAGACACGGCCCAGAAUCCUACGGGAGGCAGCAGUGGGGAAUAUUGGACCAUGGGCGGAAGCAUGAUCCAGCAAUGCCGCGUGAGUGAUGAAGGCCUUAGGGUUGUAAAGCUCUUUUACCCGGGAUGAUAAUGACAGUACCGGGAGAAUAAGCGCCGGCUAACUCCGUG